rnacentral:rRNA from 1 species
GACGAACGCUGGCGGCGUGCUUAACACAUGCAAGUCGAACGGAAAGGCCCUGCUUUUGUGGGGUGCUCGAGUGGCGAACGGGUGAGUAACACGUGAGUAACCUGCCCUUGACUUUGGGAUAACUUCAGGAAACUGGGGCUAAUACCGGAUAGGAGCUCCUGAUGCAUGGUGGGGGUUGGAAAGUUUCGGCGGUUUGGGAUGGACUCGCGGCUUAUCAGCUUGUUGGUGGGGUAGUGGAUUACCAAGGCUUUGACGGGUAGCCGGCCUGGGAGGGUGACCGGCCACCUUGGGCCUGAGAUACGGCCCAGACGCCUACGGGAGGCAGCAGUGGGGAAUAUUGCACAAUGGGCGGAAGCCUGAUGCAGCAACGCCGCGUGCGUGAUGACGGCCUUCGGGUUGUAAACCUCUUUCGCCUGUGACGAAGCGUGAGUGACGGUAAUGGGUAAAGAAGCACCGGCUAACUACGUG